GGCACUAAGGAGGUUCUUAGUGGGAGAAAAAAAAAGUCAAAUAGUAAAGUAAAAAUAGUAAAACUAAAAAAAGACUGUUUAAAAUUGAAGAAAACUUUAUCAACCUGUUUUUAUGGAAUAUUCGGGGUCCUCUGGAAACUGUGGUGAGCCAGGAUAUUGCCUGCGUUUGCCAAUUGCACAGAGGCAGAAAGCGAUCCCUAUUGAGGAUCUUAACAAGUCGACGAGAAAACUCAACGGAUUUGGAAGAUUGAGUUCAAAUCUUUUGUCUUCUCGUCUCUGCAGUGUACUUUGGAAGCUUGACUGGGUAGAACGAGUGUCUUCGAUAGGACACGUAAUGGACGGAGCGUCCUCCCGUCGGCACCUGGAAAAAGGAAACACAGAUUAAUGUCAUCAGAUUAAACAAAAUUCAUCGAUCUGGAGCAUAUGCAAUGCUGCAGUAUGAGUCAUUCCACAAUUUAUGGAGCACGACGCCCCCUCGUCGAGGCUAAUGAGCAGGCUGCUCUCCACCUCCGGGUCGGUCAGCAGCAUGAUCUGAAACGAGAGGAGAAAGGAGACGGCGGGGAUCAGCGGCCCGACAUGACAGCUCCCGCGCCGGAGGGCUCGGUUUGCGCUCGUGCCGCGCGCUGUUCUUGCUCACGUGCGUACGCGCUCGUGCCGCAGCCUCCCGCGGGGCUGCUUUGCGGUGAAAAUGAUAGCAACUCGCAUGCGGCGAUGAUGAGCUCUGACAGGUGAGAUCCCCCCCC